rnacentral:rRNA from 1 species
GAUGAACGCUAGCGGCAGGCUUAACACAUGCAAGUCGAGGGGUAGAAGGAGCUUGCUCCUUUGAGACCGGCGCACGGGUGCGUAACGCGUAUGCAACCUACCUUGAACAGGGGAAUAGCCCAGAGAAAUUUGGAUUAAUGCCCCAUGGUAUUUUCGGAUGGCAUCAUCUGAUUAUUAAAGUCACAACGGUUCAAGAUGGGCAUGCGUCCCAUUAGUUAGUUGGUAAGGUAACGGCUUACCAAGACGAUGAUGGGUAGGGGUCCUGAGAGGGAGAUCCCCCACACUGGUACUGAGACACGGACCAGACUCCUACGGGAGGCAGCAGUGAGGAAUAUUGGUCAAUGGGCGCAAGCCUGAACCAGCCAUGCCGCGUGCAGGAUUAAGGCCCUAUGGGUUGUAAACUGCUUUUGUACCAGAGAAAACCUACUCACGUGUGAGUAGCUGAUAGUAUGGUAAGAAUAAGCAUCGGCUAACUUCGUGCCAGCAGCCGCGGUAAAAC